CAUAUGAUUCAGUUUGAGUGUUUAGCUUGCCCGAAGUGCAAGUGGACCGUGAGACUCCGUUGGCCAAUAGCGUCACAGUAAAACGGAAAUGAUAAAUAUGUUAUCGUUUUUGAUAAUAGCGGUAUGCAGUUCGUUGGGGUUUGCUAUCGACACAAAUUAUCUCUUUAAUUCAGAUCGAUUCCCAGAUGCCACCAGCGUGCCGACGCUCUCGAACGGAAAUCUCGGAUUCACCGUAUUUGGUGACAGCGUCUACCUGACUGGAGUUUACAAUAGACGUGAAUCUCAGAGUCAUCGUGCCCGUAUUCCAAACUACGCCAAUAUACAAUUGGAAACAUGUAGCCAUCCGGAGACUAAUCCACCCUAUUGUUCCUACCAGCUGGACAUCAAAUUCGGCUACUUUCGAACAAUAUACGACGAUCCCAAUGGAGCACUUCGUCUCGUCCACACCGUUUAUCCACAUAGAUACUACAAUCACAUCAUUGUUAACAAUAUCCGAUUCCAACGACUGAAUGGUCAAGGUACACUGUACGCAAACAUUCUACAGCCUACGAUAUCGCCAUCCGCCGAUAUUUCAUUUGAUCCCGCUGAAAAUGCUGUAACUCCAGACAAAUCGUAUAUGAGUCUAUGUGGCCUUACUAAUGAGGUUGAAGAUCCAGAACUUCAAACUGAAAGAACCAACGUGUGUGUAUACUACAAAGAUGUACCGUCCACUCUUGUGUUAUCGGAGAAUCGCACCGCUGAAGAGUUUAGUUUCUUUACCGUGUUUGCCCGAAGUAGAACAGAGGCGGAAGCUGAUUUACGGGGAUUGCUGUUCAGUAUAAAGCCAAAUGAAGAAAAAUCAAGUGUAGACUGGUUUCAUGAGAAGCAUAUGAACGAACUUUGGGAUCAGUAUGGGAUCACCGUUGACGGAAACGAUGAGCUAGAUCGAGCCAUCAAAGCGAGCGCAUUUCAACUGUUCAGCAAUGUUCCAACCUUGUAAACUCAUAAUAAAGUACAAACAUUCGGAAUAUCGCCUUCAGGGAUAGGGCGGAACGAUUUUCAAGGACACGUCAUGUGGGAUUUCGAUAUGUGGAUGUUCCCUGUAGUGCUGCUAGUAGAUCCAAUCGUUGCAGAAGAAAUACUUACAUACAGAACAAGAGCUCUUAAGAACAUUGCAGAAGAUAUGCUAACUUACGAAACAACUAUUGUUCAGAAAGCAAUUGAAAGAAAUGCAGCAAUGAAUAAAAAUGAAGGAUGGCAGUAUCCAUGGGCUUCUGCCUUCACAGGCCGAGAAGUAUCAUCGACUCAAGAAGCAACCGAAAUACAGCAUCACAUUACGGCAGAUGUCGCCUUUGCCAUCCGACAGUACUUGUAUGCUACAGGAAACAAGUACUGGAUGAGAACGCAAGGCUGUGAGUUGGCCUACAAUACUGCUCGUUUCUGGAAAAGUCGAGCCGUUUAUAACUCCGAUACGGAUAAGUACGAUAUUCGUGAUGUUACGGGACCCGACACCAUGAAUCCCAACAUCACUAACAGCGUGUACACAAACGUCGUAGCAGCUAACAACCUGUUUCUCGGCGAAUACGCAGCAUGUGUGUGUAAUACCGAGCUGAAUGUCCACAAAAAUGAUUCUGAUGAGAUGAUUAGAAUUGCGAAAAGUUUACAUUUGUUGUACAACGAAAAUGAAGACUUCAAUCCGCAGUUUGAAGGCUACGUGUUAGGGCAAGAGAUUUCUCAAGCGGAUACCGUGCUUCUUGGAUACCCACUUGACCUUCCAAUGAAAAAGUCGACGAAACGACGGAAUCUGGACAUCUAUAGUUCGGUUACAAAAAAUUCAACACUGACCUAGGCAAUGCACACCAUUGGAUGGCUCGACGUAGAUAGUGAUAGCUGCGUACAAAAUUUAUUUGAAUCAAAUAAACAAGUAGAAAAAUGAUAACUA